rnacentral:tRNA from 1 species
GGCCUGUUGGUGAAGCGGUUUAACACGUUGCCCUCUCAAGGCAAUAUUCAUGGGUUCAAUUCCCAUACAGGUCACCA